rnacentral:rRNA from 1 species
UGGCGAACGGGUGAGUAACACGUGAGCAAUCUGCCCCUGACUCUGGGAUAAGCGCUGGAAACGGCGUCUAAUACCGGAUACGAGCUGCGACCGCAUGGUCAGUAGCUGGAAAGAAUUUCGGUCAGGGAUGAGCUCGCGGCCUAUCAGCUUGUUGGUGAGGUAAUGGCUCACCAAGGCGUCGACGGGUAGCCGGCCUGAGAGGGUGACCGGCCACACUGGGACUGAGACACGGCCCAGACUCCUACGGGAGGCAGCAGUGGGGAAUAUUGCACAAUGGGCGAAAGCCUGAUGCAGCAACGCCGCGUGAGGGAUGACGGCCUUCGGGUUGUAAACCUCUUUUAGCAGGGAAGAAGCGAAAGUGACGGUACCUGCAGAAAAAGCGCCGGCUAACUACGUGCCAGCAGCCGCGGUAAUACGUAGGGCGCAAGCGUUAUCCGGAAUUAUUGGGCGUAAAGAGCUCGUAGGCGGUCUGUCGCGUCUGCUGUGAAAACCCGAGGCUCAACCUCGGGCCUGCAGUGGGUACGGGCAGACUAGAGUGCGGUAGGGGAGAUUGGAAUUCCUGGUGUAGCGGUGGAAUGCGCAGAUAUCAGGAGGAACACCGAUGGCGAAGGCAGAUCUCUGGGCCGUAACUGACGCUGAGGAGCGAAAGGGUGGGGAGCAAACAGGCUUAGAUACCCUGGUAGUCCACCCCGUAAACGUUGGGAACUAGUUGUGGGGUCCAUUCCACGGAUUCCGUGACGCAGCUAACGCAUUAAGUUCCCCGCCUGGGGAGUACGGCCGCAAGGCUAAAACUCAAAGGAAUUGACGGGGACCCGCACAAGCGGCGGAGCAUGCGGAUUAAUUCGAUGCAACGCGAAGAACCUUACCAAGGCUUGACAUAUAGAGGAAACGUCUGGAAACAGUCGCCCCGCAAGGUCUCUAUACAGGUGGUGCAUGGUUGUCGUCAGCUCGUGUCGUGAGAUGUUGGGUUAAGUCCCGCAACGAGCGCAACCCUCGUUCUAUGUUGCCAGCACGUAAUGGUGGGAACUCAUGGGAUACUGCCGGGGUCAACUCGGAGGAAGGUGGGGAUGACGUCAAAUCAUCAUGCCCCUUAUGUCUUGGGCUUCACGCAUGCUACAAUGGCCGGUACAAAGGGCUGCAAUACCGUGAGGUGGAGCGAAUCCCAAAAAGCCGGUCCCAGUUCGGAUUGAGGUCUGCAACUCGACCUCAUGAAGUCGGAGUCGCUAGUAAUCGCAGAUCAGCAACGCUGCGGUGAAUACGUUCCCGGGUCUUGUACACACCGCCCGUCAAGUCAUGAAAGUCGGUAACACCUGAAGCCGGUGGCCCAACCC